GCAUUGGUGGUUCACUGGUAUAAUUCUCGCCUGCUAAGUGGGAGACCCUGGUCAGGCUCCUGGCCAAUGCA
rfam:Danio rerio chromosome 4, GRCz11 reference primary assembly.